rnacentral:rRNA from 1 species
UAAAAAUUUAUUUAUUUUAGGUAGUAACAGAUUUCUUGAAACCUAAAGAAUUUGGCGGUAUUUUAAAUAAUUAGAGGAACCUGUUAAAUAAAUGAUAAUCCACAACAUAUCUUACCUUAAUUAAGUUUGUAUACCGUUGUUUUUAGAUUAUAUUUAUAAGUUAUGAUCAAAAUUAAUUAAUUUUUAUAAAUCAAAUCAAGGUGCAGCAUAUUUAGGUUUUAAUGGGUUACAAUAUAUUAAUAUACACGAAUAAAUUAUGAAAAUAUUUUAGAAGGUGGAUUUAAAAGUAAUUUAAAAUUAAAAUGUUUAAAUGAAUAAAAAUUUAAAAUAUGC